UGGGGAAUUUUGGACAAUGGGCGCAAGCCUGACCCAGCCAUGCCGCGUGAGUGACGAAGGCCUUAGGGUUGUAAAGCUCUUUUGGCGGGGACGAUAAUGACGGUACCCGCAGAAUAAGCCCCGGCUAACUUCGUGCCAGCAGCCGCGGUAAUACGAAGGGGGCUAGCGUUGUUCGGAAUCACUGGGCGUAAAGCGCACGUAGGCGGACUUUCAAGUCAGGGGUGAAAUCCCGGGGCUCAACCUCGGAACUGCCUUUGAUACUGUUGGUCUCGAGUCCGGAAGAGGUGGGUGGAAUUCCUAGUGUAGAGGUGAAAUUCGUAGAUAUUAGGAAGAACACCGGUGGCGAAGGCGGCCCACUGGUCCGGUACUGACGCUGAGGUGCGAAAGCGUGGGGAGCAAACA
rnacentral:rRNA from 1 species